GGGGGGAGGGCGAGGGUGAGAAAAGCUAGGGCGGGGGGAAUGCGAAGGCGAGAGAAAGACCCAUUUUUCCUCGCUCUCUUUCUCUCGCCUUCGCAUCCCCCCCCCCUUAGCUUCUCCCACCCUCGCCCUCCCCCCU